rnacentral:rRNA from 1 species
CCUACGGGAGGCUGCAGUGGGGAAUAUUGGACAAUGGGCGCAAGCCUGAUCCAGCCAUGCCGCGUGAGUGAUGAAGGCCUUAGGGUUGUAAAGCUCUUUUGUCCGGGACGAUAAUGACGGUACCGGAAGAAUAAGCCCCGGCUAACUUCGUGCCAGCAGCCGCGGUAAUACGAAGGGGGCUAGCGUUGCUCGGAAUCACUGGGCGUAAAGGGCGCGUAGGCGGCCUUGUAAGUUGGGGGUGAAAGCCCGUGGCUCAACCACGGAAUUGCCUUCGAUACUGCUUGGCUUGAGUGUGGUAGAGGUUGGUGGAACUGCGAGUGUAGAGGUGAAAUUCGUAGAUAUUCGCAAGAACACCGGUGGCGAAGGCGGCCAACUGGACCAUCACUGACGCUGAGGCGCGAAAGCGUGGGGAGCAAACAGGAUUAGAUACCCGAGUAGUC